rnacentral:rRNA from 1 species
UAAGGAAUAUUGGUCAAUGGAGGCAACUCUGAACCAGCCAUGCCGCGUGAAGGAUGAAGGUCCUCUGGAUUGUAAACUUCUUUUAUGUGGGAAGAAAUGUAUGCUAUAUAGCGUAUUUGACGGUACCAUAGGAAUAAGCACCGGCUAACUCCGUGCCAGCAGCCGCGGUAAUACGGAGGGUGCAAGCGUUAUCCGGAUUCACUGGGUUUAAAGGUGCGUAGGGUGGUUUGUAAGUCAGUGGUGAAAUCUCCGUGCUUAACAUGGAAACCGCCAUUGAUACUAUGAGUCUUGAAUUUUCCGGAGGUUAGCGGAAUAUGUCAUGUAGCGGUGAAAUGCUUAGAUAUGACAUAGAACACCAAUUGCGAAGGCAGCUAACUACAGGGACAUUGACACUGAUGCACGAAAGCGUGGGGAUCAAACAGGAUUAGAUACCCUGGUAGUCCACGCCCUAAACGAUGGAUACUCGACAUACGCGAUAAACAGUGUGUGU